UCCGAAAGGUAGUCAUUUGUAUAUAUGAAACAUAUAUACAGAGUUACACUUUUCGAAUAUUAGAGCUUCUUCUCGUUGGAGUUGUUCAAUUUAUGGGCGAUUACCUCUAAUCUGUAAGCAACAAUU
rnacentral:snoRNA from 1 species